rnacentral:rRNA from 1 species
GAUGAACGCUGGCGGCGUGCCUAAUACAUGCAAGUCGAGCGAACGGACGAGACGCUUGCUUCUCUGAUGUUAGCGGCGGACGGGUGAGUAACACGUGGAUAACCUACCUAUAAGACUGGGAUAACUUCGGGAAACCGGAGCUAAUACCGGAUAAUAUUUUGAACCGCAUGGUUCAAAAGUGAAAGACGGUCUUGCUGUCACUUAUAGCUGGAUCCGCGCUGCAUUAGCUAGUUGGUAAGGUAACGGCUUACCAAGGCAACGAUGCAUAGCCGACCUGAGAGGCUGAUCGGCCACAUUGGAACUGAGACACGGUCCAGACUACUAAGGGAGGGAGCAGUAGGGAAUCUGCCGCAAUGGGCGAAAGCCUGACGGAGCAACGCCGCGUGAGUGAUGAAGGUCUCCGGAUCGUAAAACUCGGUUAUUAGGGAAGAACAUAUGUGUAAGUAACUGUGCACAGCUUGACGGUACCUAAUCAGAAAGCCACGGCUAACUACGUG